rnacentral:rRNA from 1 species
AUUGAACGCUGGCGGCAUGCCUUACACAUGCAAGUCGAACGGUAACAGGUUAAGCUGACGAGUGGCGAACGGGUGAGUAAUAUAUCGGAACGUGCCCAGUCGUGGGGGAUAACUGCUCGAAAGAGCAGCUCAUACCGCAUACGACCUGAGGGUGAAAGCGGCGGAUCGCAAGACCUCGCGCGAUUGGAGCGGCGGAUAUCAGAUUAGGUAGUUGGUGGGGUAAAGGCCUACCAAGCCUACGAUCUGUAGCUGGUCUGAGAGGACGACCAGCCACACUGGGGCGGCGACACGGACCAGACUCCUACGUGAGGCAGCAGUGGGGAAUUUUGGACAAGGGACGCAAGUCUGAUCCAGCCAUGCCGCGUGCGGGAAGAAGGCCUUCGGGUUGUAAACCGCUUUUGUCAGGGAAGAAAAGGUUCUGGUUAAUACCUGGGACUCAUGACGGUACCUGAAGAAUAAGCACCGGCUAACUACGUGCCAGCCGCCGCCGUAAGAC